GAUGAACGCUGGCGGCGUGCCUAAUACAUGCAAGUCGAGCGAACAGACGAGGAGCUUGCUCCUCUGACGUUAGCGGCGGACGGGUGAGUAACACGUGGAUAACCUACCUAUAAGACUGGGAUAACUUCGGGAAACCGGAGCUAAUACCGGAUAAUAUAUUGAACCGCAUGGUUCAAUAGUGAAAGACGGUUUUGCUGUCACUUAUAGAUGGAUCCGCGCCGCAUUAGCUAGUUGGUAAGGUAACGGCUUACCAAGGCGACGAUGCGUAGCCGACCUGAGAGGGUGAUCGGCCACACUGGAGCUGAAACACGGUCCAGACGCCUACGGGAGGCAGCAGUAGGGAAUCUUCCGCAAUGGGCGAAAGCCUGACGGAGCAACGCCGCGUGAGUGAUGAAGGUCUUCGGAUCGUAAAACUCUGUUAUUAGGGAAGAACAAAUGUGUAAGUAACUAUGCACGUCUUGACGGUACCUAAUCAGAAAGCCACGGCUAACUACGUG
rnacentral:rRNA from 1 species